AGUGUACUCGAAAUCUUCGGAUGAUCAAAUCGUACUUCACCGGCAGCAUCGGUGCAUCAAAUCCGUCGUUAUCAUGUUCGGUGCUCGCAUGGUCACCGUCGAUGGACGCCCCAUCAAACUCAAAUCUGGGACACCGUUAGUAUAUCCUUGCAACAGUAUAUGAUCAGCUCCAAUUUUCUGAAUUCCUCCAUCAGCAAAGGUUUUGGGAAUUUACGUU